CCUACGGGUGGCAGCAGUGGGGAAUAUUGCACAAUGGGCGAAAGCCUGAUGCAGCAACGCCGCGUGAAGGAAGAAGGGUUUCGGCUCGUAAACUUCUAUCAACAGGGACGUAAGAAAUGACGGUACCUGAAUAAGAAGCCUCGGCUAACUACGUGCCAGCAGCCGCGGUAAUACGGAGGGGGCAAGCGUUAUCCGGAAUUACUGGGUGUAAAGGGUGAGUAGGUGGCAUGGUAAGCCAGAUGUGAAAGCCGUGGGCUUAACCCCGGAACUGCUCUUGGAACUGCGUGGCUGGAGUGCAGGGGGGGCAGGCGGAAUUCGUGGUGUAGCGGUGAAAUGCGUAGAUAUCAGGAAGAACACCGAUGGCGAAGGCGGCCUGCUGGACUGCAACUGACGUUGAGGCCCGAAAGCGUGGGGAGCAAACAGGAUUAGAUACCCCUGUAGUC
rnacentral:rRNA from 1 species